CACAAUUGUCUCCUUCUGUUUGGACACAUCAUAUUGAGAACGAAUCAUUGUUUGGUAAAUACUAGUUUCGAACAAUGACCACUCUGUACAAAGACUCCCCCCCCCAAAUUACGCAGACAUCAGGGAUUAAAACCCUCCAUAACUGAACAACAUUACAAAACAGUAUUUCCCUCCGCUAAGGUUUCUUCAGUAUCUCAGACAUCCUAGUUUGAAAGCUACAGCUAGCAUGUUGAUCUGAUAGCUAUACAUACUCUCUGGACUCUGGGGGUUCUUUUUCUUUUAUUUUGCAACCUUUUGAUCUCACUUCGAAUUGCUAUACAAACAGCAGCUGAACCAACCUGACGUGGAAGGAACCAGAAUGUACACGCAGGCCUCAACAUGCAGCACAGCCUAUUUUGAUCAAGGAUGUGCAGUCUGUCUCCAUAAACCACACCUCUAUUAAAUAUGAGGUUGGCAGAUAUCUCUUGCAUUGAGUCACAGCCUGCAGGCUCUUGAGCCAAUGCCAACAUGACCCUGAGACUGUCAGUGUUACAGUCUACCUCUGCUAGACCCGUGUGAUUCAGGUUAGUGUGAAAAAAAGGGAAGGUUAUUCCAAACAAUAGCAGGUAAGUACACAAGCUGAGAAGAAACAAUAUG